rnacentral:rRNA from 1 species
CGCGGCCUAUCAGCUUGUUGGUGAGGUAAUGGCUCACCAAGGCGACGACGGGUAGCCGGCCUGAGAGGGCGACCGGCCACACUGGGACUGAGACACGGCCCAGACUCCUACGGGAGGCAGCAGUGGGGAAUAUUGCACAAUGGGCGAAAGCCUGAUGCAGCGACGCCGCGUGAGGGAUGACGGCCUCCGGGUUGUAAACCUCUUUCAGCUCCGAAGAAGCGAAAGUGACGGUAGGAGCAGGAGAAGCACCGGCUAACUACGUGCCAGCAGCCGCGGUAAUACGUAGGGUGCAAGCGUUGUCCGGAAUUAUUGGGCGUAAAGAGCUCGUAGGUGGUUCGUCGCGUCUGCUGUGAAAGUCCGAGGCUUAACCUCGGAUCUGCAGUGGGUACGGGCGGACUAGAGUGCGGUAGAGGAGAUCGGAAUUCCUGGUGUAGCGGUGGAAUGCGCAGAUAUCAGGAGGAACACCGGUGGCGAAGGCGGAUCUCUGGGCCGUAACUGACGCUGAGGAGCGAAAGCAUGGGGAGCGAACAGGCUUAGAUACCCUGGUAGUCCAUGCCGUAAACGUUGGGCGCUAGGUGUGGGGUCCUAUCCACGGAUUCCGUGCCGCAGCUAACGCAUUAAGCGCCCCGCCUGGGGAGUACGG